AUAAUUUGUAUGAUAUUAUUGCUUCUGUAAUUUGUUUUCAUAAAUUUCCCAAUGGUAAGAAAAAGAGUAAAUGGUUUUACUUUUAAUGAAUGUAUUGGUUUAAAUUUAGUGCUUCAUUGGUUGUUUUUAGUUUUCUACCAAUAUUUACUUCUGUACCGGUGAUAUAGUGUGAUGUCCUUACUGCGCUAGUGUAGCUCACCCCUACUUAACCAUUUCAGAUUAACAGGACCCGGUUCCCGACCCCGAUCCGCAAGAAGGCUACGAGUAGAUGGUAGAUACUUUAUAGUU
rnacentral:lncRNA from 1 species